GACGGAGGGUGCUAGCGUUGUUCGGAAUUACUGGGCGUAAAGCGUGCGCAGGCGGUUAUGCAAGACAGAUGUGAAAUCCCCGGGCUCAACCUGGGAACUGCAUUUGUGACUGCAUGGCUGGAGUGCGGCAGAGGGGGAUGGAAUUCCGCGUGUAGCAGUGAAAUGCGUAGAUAUGCGGAGGAACACCGAUGGCGAAGGCAAUCCCCUGGGCCUGCACUGACGCUCAUGCACGAAAGCGUGGGGAGCAAACAGG
rnacentral:rRNA from 1 species